AUGUGUCUGGGGAAGCACCAAAGAUUCUUUUCCAUCUGGCAAAGACCCGAGACCUCCCUGAAGACUCCUCCUGAGCAUCUCCAGCAGGGCGGCGGAGGCGGCAGUGGGAGGAGGCUGCAAAGCGACUUGCACUGUCGGGCUAGCCCAGAACAAGGCUGGCCUUUGUCUACUAACAAGGUAGACCCUCUCUUGCCUUUGCAGAGGCCAAUCACACUCCCGGAUCUCUGCCAAGAAAACCCUAAAGGAUGUCAUAAAAAGUCAGACGCAACCAAACAACAACUUCUUAAGCUACCACUGGCAGAGAACAAAGUCAGAGCACUCUAUCCUUUGGGAUUUUACAAUAUUCAAAUAUGGAACUUUGAAACCACCUUCUAUAAUCACAGCCUCUGGAAGCCAGGAAAGAAAGGCCAGCUACUCACUCACCCAAGACAGACUCCAAAGGAAAAGAUCCAGGAACAGUCCUCCCAGAAGCAGUCCAAGAACUAAAGUCUCAGUCCAAGUCAACUCACCAGGAGAAGAUCCAAGCCAAAGAUCAAAGAACAGUCCCAAAAGCCAACGUCACCUCCAAGAGGCAAGUCACUAGCCCAAACUCCAAGCUGAAGAUUCAAGCUGAAGACCCCUUGGUCAGGAAGUUCAGGACUUUUUAUGGACCUUUUUCCAUGUCACUUCCUGUCCCUUCCUUCACCUUACGUGAACCAAUUGCAGUCUUCAGAUUUGCUUAGCACUGCCCAGGGGCAGGGCAGUCAAGUCUGGGGUUGUCACCUCGGAGGGUGUAAACUCUUAUCCAAGGAUUCACAAGUUUCUGACUGAUUGGGUGGAGCACUCCAAGUAAGUGGUGAACUCCCUUACUUGGUGUUAAGUUUUUGGUUGAUUAAUUCAAAAUAGACAAAAAGAAUACAGAAUUUCUUUUCACAAGUGCCUAAUAAGUGCAAAGCACUGUUUAAGAUGCUAAAGUCAGCUGUUUCUGUGUUGCUGAAUUAUUGCAAUUGCUGAUAGUAUAUUUAGGCAAUGCCCUGCUAGAUUCUCCCAACUUAGAUUUCUAAAGGUGUCCACAGAAAGGCAUGGCCCAACCUUUCACUUGAAGUUUUACUUCAUCUGAUCUUCCUGGCAAGUGCCAGGAGGCAACUAGUGAAAUGCCCGAGUGCCCAUUGUAAAUGAGGAAAUUCAUCCCUUCUGCAGGCUUCUACCAAUCACUGGGCUGCACUUUUCCCAGAAGCAAGCUGGUCACUUGUUAUUGAACUUCCUAAAAACUUGUUGCCCCUUUCUUCAACAUAUAUCAAAGAAGUCUACCUUCUGCCUCCUCAAAAAAAUCAGCCUCUAUUCCUUGACCCCUAAAUGCCCUUAUCACAUCCUCAUCAGCCCCCCUAACUUCUCAGACUUUGAUGCUCUCAUGGGAUGCUUUUCCUUGAAAGACUUGCUGGUCCAUGGGCCAAUAAAAUAUUCAGAGGUGCCA
rnacentral:lncRNA from 1 species